rnacentral:misc_RNA from 1 species
GAUGAAGAACGCAGUGAAAUGCGAUAAGUAAUGUGAAUUGCAGAAUUCAGUGAAUCAUCGAAUCUUUGAACGCACAUUGCGCCCGCCAGUAUUCUGGCGGGCAUGCCUGUUCGAGCGUCAUUUCAACCAUCAAGCCCCAGGCUUGUGUUGGGGACCUGCGGCUGCCGCAGGCCCUGAAAACCAGUGGCGGGCUCGCUGUCACACCGGGCGUAGUAGAUUUUAUCUCGCUCAGGGCGUGCUGCGGGUUCCGGCCGUUAAAAAGCCUUUUUUACCCAAGGUUGACCUCGGAUCAGGUAGGAAGACCCGCUGAACUUAAGCAUAUCAAUAAGCGGAGA